AAUAGGCAGCCUUAUUUAUUAUAUACUUGGGAAGUUGUAGCUGCAGUAGCUUUCAUUUACAAACAGAAGCAGAAAACUAUUCCUUUUCUCAAGGCUACAACUUUCUAGGAGUUAUAAAGUAAAUAUAAAGUAAAUAAGUCUGAAGUUCUGAACGAUGAAGCCAAGAAGAGAGAAAGAAGGAAAAGGAAGAAAAAAAAUCAAGAAUGGCAGUCGACGACGGCGGUGGGAGAAGAAAGAAGCAUCGAUGACGACCCACGGCGGUGGAAGGGCGACGGCGGCGGGACGACGACGGCGGCGGGACGGCGACGGCGGUGGCUGUGGAAGUCGCCGACGCAGAGAUACCAUUUUUUUUUAAAAUAAAGUUAAAAAUGGGUAGGGUUUAUGGGUUUGGACGUUGAAUCGGCGUCCUUGGCGUCGUCUGGGAUGCCUAGGCGACGCCGGAGCUCGCCUCACCAUUUUCAGGCGAGGCGAAGCCUCCAGGCGUCCUGUCUCCACCGACAGGACGCCAAGGCGUCGCCUAGGCGACGCCAUGAUAACUAUGCUCAAGACCUUGU